CGGCGUGCCUAACACAUGCAAUUCGAACGGAGUGUUGAGAGCUUGCUUUUAACACUUAGUGGCGGACGGGUGAGUAAUGUAUGAGCAACCUGCCUUUCAGAGGGGGACAACAGUUGGAAACGACUGCUAAUACCGCAUAAUGUAUUUCGGAGGCAUCUCUGGGAUACCAAAGGAGCAAUCCGCUGAAAGAUGGGCUCAUAUCUGAUUAGCUAGUUGGUGAGGUAACGGCUCACCAAGGCUGCGAUCAGUAGCCGGACUGAGAGGUUGAACGGCCACAUUGGGACUGAGAUACGGCCCAGACUCCUACGGGAGGCAGCAGUGGGGAAUAUUGGGCAAUGGGCGAAAGCCUGACCCAGCAACGCCGCGUGAAGGAAGAAGGUCUUCGGAUUGUAAACUUCUUUUAUGAGGGACGAAGGACGUGACGGUACCUCAUGAAUAAGCCACGGCUAACUACGUGCCAGCAGCCGCGGUAAUACGUAGGUGGCAAGCGUUAUCCGGAUUUACUGGGUGUAAAGGGAGCGCAGGCGGGAUAGCAAGUCAGCUGUGAAAACUAUGGGCUCAACCCAUAAACUGCAGUUGAAACUGUUAUUCUUGAGUGGAGUAGAGGCAAGCGGAAUUCCGAGUGUAGCGGUGAAAUGCGUAGAUAUUCGGAGGAACACCAGUGGCGAAGGCGGCUUGCUGGGCUCUAACUGACGCUGAGGCUCGAAAGUGUGGGGAGCAAACAGGAUUAGAUACCCUGGUAGUCCACACUGUAAACGAUGAUUGCUAGGUGUGGGGGGUCUGACCCCCUCCGUGCCGGAGUUAACGCAAUAAGCAAUCCACCUGGGGAGUACGGCCGCAAGGUUGAAACUCAAAUGAAUUGACGG
rnacentral:rRNA from 1 species